rnacentral:rRNA from 1 species
CCUGGCUCGUUCGAGCGCUGGCGGCGCGCCUAACACAUGCAAGUCGAAUGAGCGAGAGAGAGCUUGCUUUCUCGAGCGAGUGGCGAACGGGUGAGUAACGCGUGAGGAACCUGCCUCAAAGAGGGGGACAACAGUUGGAAACGACUGCUAAUACCGCAUAAGCCCACGGCUCGGCAUCGAGCAGAGGGAAAAGGAGCAAUCCGCUUUGAGAUGGCCUCGCGUCCGAUUAGCUAGUUGGUGAGGUAAUGGCCCACCAAGGCGACGAUCGGUAGCCGGACUGAGAGGUUGAACGGCCACAUUAGGACUGAGACACGGCCCAGACUCCUACGGGAGGCAGCAGUGGGGGAUAUUGCACAAUGGGGGAAACCCUGAUGCAGCGACGCCGCGUGGAGGAAGAAGGUCUUCGGAUUGUAAACUCCUGUUGUUGAGGAAGAUAAUGACGGUACUCAACAAGGAAGUGACGGCUAACUACGUGCCAGCAGCCGCGGUAAAACGUAGGUCACAAGCGUUGUCCGGAAUUACUGGGUGUAAAGGGAGCGCAGGCGGGAAGACAAGUUGGAAGUGAAAUCCAUGGGCUCAACCCAUGAACUGCUUUCAAAACUGUUUUUCUUGAGUAGUGCAGAGGUAGGCGGAAUUCCCGGUGUAGCGGUGGAAUGCGUAGAUAUCGGGAGGAACACCAGUGGCGAAGGCGGCCUACUGGGCACCAACUGACGCUGAGGCUCGAAAGUGUGGGUAGCAAACAGGAUUAGAUACCCUGGUAGUCCACACUGUAAACGAUGAUUACUAGGUGUUGGAGGAUUGACCCCUUCAGUGCCGCAGUUAACACAAUAAGUAAUCCACCUGGGGAGUACGACCGCAAGGUUGAAACUCAAAGGAAUUGACGGGGGCCCGCACAAGCAGUGGAGUAUGUGGUUUAAUUCGACGCAACGCGAAGAACCUUACCAAGUCUUGACAUCCUGCGACGCACAUAGAAAUAUGUGUUUCCUUCGGGACGCAGAGACAGGUGGUGCAUGGUUGUCGUCAGCUCGUGUCGUGAGAUGUUGGGUUAAGUCCCGCAACGAGCGCAACCCUUAUGGUCAGUUACUACGCAAGAGGACUCUGGCCAGACUGCCGUUGACAAAACGGAGGAAGGUGGGGAUGACGUCAAAUCAUCAUGCCCUUUAUGACUUGGGCUACACACGUACUACAAUGGCGUUAAACAAAGAGAAGCAAGACCGCGAGGUGGAGCAAAACUCAGAAACAACGUCCCAGUUCGGACUGCAGGCUGCAACUCGCCUGCACGAAGUCGGAAUUGCUAGUAAUCGCAGAUCAGCAUGCUGCGGUGAAUACGUUCCCGGGCCUUGUACACACCG